UGGGGAAUAUUGGACAAUGGGGGCAACCCUGAUCCAGCCAUGCCGCGUGUGUGAAGAAGGCCUUUUGGUUGUAAAGCACUUUAAGCAGUGAAGAAGACUCCAUGGUUAAUACCCAUGGACGAUGACAUUAGCUGCAGAAUAAGCACCGGCUAACUCUGUGCCAGCAGCCGCGGUAAUACAGAGGGUGCAAGCGUUAAUCGGAAUUACUGGGCGUAAAGCGAGCGUAGGUGGCUUGAUAAGUCAGAUGUGAAAGCCCCGGGCUUAACCUGGGAACGGCAUCUGAUACUGUUAGGCUAGAGUAGGUGAGAGGAAGGUAGAAUUCCAGGUGUAGCGGUGAAAUGCGUAGAGAUCCGGAGGAAUACCGAUGGCGAAGGCAGCCUUCUGGCAUCAUACUGACACUGAGGUUCGAAAGCGUGGGUAGCAAACA
rnacentral:rRNA from 1 species